rnacentral:lncRNA from 1 species
GGAGCCGAGGAGCUGGGUGACCUUUAACAAAGAACUUCAAGGCUUAUUCUUUCCCCCAGACUUGCCAGCAGAAGACAUGAUAAUCAUUGACCUUUUCCUAAGGACACUCCUCAAGCUGUCACCAGAAGAAGGCCUACAGUACAAUGGAUAGAAGUUGACUUUCCCUCUGAGAUUAAAGUGCCUGCUGAUAUCCCUCCAUAGACGCUCCGAGACAGGAGCCAUCUGCACCAGCAGCAAUUUCCCAGCAGUGAUCCGAGGAUAAACUCCCAGUGAGAACUCAGCAUCCCUUCUGAAGAGCAGGGUCACCAGCAGAACCCUCUAGAGAGCAGAGUGAGGGUAAAGAGACAUCUUAUCAACAGAAGGAACUGCAGAAGAGGAGCUGAGCCUGUUGGGGGUUUUCAGUCCUGUUGCUUCUUGCUGGGAAAGGAGGCCAGAGCCUGGAGCUGGGCAAAUCAUCUGCCAUCCAUCCACCACCCACCAUUUCUACCUACUCUUCAUUGUUGCUGUUUUUUUCUUUUUGGUGGGUCGGGGCAUAUGCAUGCCAUGGCAUGUGUGUGGAGGUCAGAAGACAAUCCUACAGAGCCAAUUCUUACUUGUCACCUUUGUGUGAGUUCUAGGGAUGAAACUCAGGUCACCACAGCAAAGGCCCUUUGUGUUAAACAUUUUUGCUGGCUCAUGGCUUAAUUUUUUCUAGUUGUAUGUAUGUUUAUAUAUCUGGGGGUGGGGUGGCAACAUGUAUGUACACAUGAGUGUAGUUGCUGAUGGAGAGCAGACAAGGGAGUUAGGUUCCCUGGGAGCUAGAGUUGCAAGAGGUUUUGAGCCACUAUGGUGGGAGCUAGGAACUGCCUCUGCAAGAGGUAUCUACACCCUUAACUACUGAGGCAACGCUCCAGUUCCCAUGCAUUUUCUUAAUAUAUGCUCUUAUCUUGCCUCUUUCCCACUUGUGUUUUGAUUUUCU